rnacentral:rRNA from 1 species
UCGAACGGUAACAUGGCUAGCUUGCUAGCUGAUGACGAGUGGCGGACGGGUGAGUAACGCGUAGGAAUCUACCUAUUAGUGGGGGACAACCUGGUGAAAACCAGGCUAAUACCGCAUACGCCCUACGGGGGAAAGCAGGGGAUCUUCGGACCUUGCGCUAUUAGAUGAGCCUGCGUUAGAUUAGCUUGUUGGUGAGGUAAUGGCUCACCAAGGCGACGAUCUAUAGCUGGUCUGAGAGGAUGAUCAGCCACACUGGGACUGAGACACGGCCCAGACUCCUACGGGAGGCAGCAGUGGGGAAUAUUGCGCAAUGGGCGAAAGCCUGACGCAGCCAUACCGCGUGUGUGAAGAAGGGUUUAGGCUCGUAAAGCACUUUAAGUAGGGAGGAAGGCCUGUAAAUUAAUACUUUGCAGGAUUGACGUUACCUACAGAAAAAANANNCGCUGACUCCUUGCNGNCAGCCGCGGUAAUACACGAGGGUGCAAGCGUUAAUCGGAAUUACUGGGCGUAAAGCGCGCGUAGGCGGUUUGUUAAGCGAGAUGUGAAAGCCCAGGGCUCAACCUUGGAACUGCAUUUCGAACUGGCAGGCUAAAGUA